GCAGCAGUGAGGAAUAUUGGUCAAUGGGCGAGAGCCUGAACCAGCCAAGUCGCGUGAGGGAAGACGGUCCUACGGAUUGUAAACCUCUUUUGUCGGGGAGCAAUAAAGCGUACGCGUACGCAGAUGCGAGUACCCGAAGAAAAAGCAUCGGCUAACUCCGUGCC
rnacentral:rRNA from 1 species